AGCAUAAACCAUCUCUGCCCUAAUUUCUUCGGAGAAGAGAAUGAGAGAGGCGUCCCACAUCUUUCGACGGCGAGAUUGUGUCGUUUCCGCUUUCCUUCACCAAAUGAAAUGCUCUGAGUUAAGAUUUCGUGAUUAAUCUACUCAGAUCGCUCCCACACACGUGUAUUCAAAGCAAUCUUCAAGCUUAGAGGCGGUGUGAUCUAUGUAUAAAUAGAGGUGAUCUUCGAAUUUGUUUUAUUCAUCCUCAUAGAGCUAACUCUAGGGUUUUUUUCUCUGAUCUGAAGGCCGGGAAAUGUACCUCCUUCGUUGAGGCAAGGCUCCUGAGUUUCUGAGAGGGCAGGAACGCUACCAUGAUUCAAGCUACCAUCAAUGCCAGCCGGCUUCAGAGUUUCCGUUCGAAGCUUACCGCCGGGAAGAUGUUCUCCCUCACCGGAAUUGAUGUCUCUCGGUGUGCUCAGAAUCUCCGGCUCUCCGACUCUCCUCUGCUAAUCUGGUUUAGUGAGGCAACAUCCUUUGAUGAGUAAAGUGAAUGGUUUCUCCGGUUGCCCGAAGAAUGCUUCCGGUUCCGCAAUCAGGCCGAACUGGUUGGAUUAGCGAACACCACUACACAGUUACCAGAAGAAUGGUUUAACGCACAUGAUAUACUCUAAGAUCAGCAUGGAUACCACGAAGGUUCCAGAAGCAAUAUAUAAGUUCAUUCAACGCCAACCAAAGGUAAUGAAUAUCUACCAGGGUUUGAAUUAUUAUUUUUUGUUUGGAGAGUUAUUACUAAUUGGUUAUAUAGUUAGUCACUUCAGGUCUCUGUACAAGCUGUUGGUUCAAUGUUGGGGCGUGAUUUUCAAGGUUUUUUUCAUAGAGCCCAUAUGUAUUAGUGAAGUAUAUGUUUCUCACUUCAAGGUUUUUGCUUAAGAUUUCAGGUAGUUUGAGAAGAGCUUGAAAUCUGCAAUUGAAUCCAUUAGAGGGAAACAAUCAGUCGUUCACCAAGAUCCGGCAGGCAAGUACAAGACAUUCGAGAAGCAAGGAGAAGAUUUGACAGCAAUGGUGGGAGAAAGAAACCUUUGUCCUUCGGCUAGAAGAUAUGACAUUCGGUAGACUCUUUCAUAUCCUUUCAAGUAGGAUAAAGAACAACCAUGUGUUGAUCGUAAACCAGGUGUUGGAAAACCUGCGAUUUCAGAAGAGUAAACUAUCACCACACUGAAUUUUAGAUAACUUAACCAUAUGUUUAUGUAAUGCUAAGAUACCACAAUUCCACUUUCCAAACAGACUUCUUCGCAGGAUUUGGUCUGUUUUUUUGCAUAUAGUAAUCUUUCUAGACUACAGACCUUUAA